ACUUCCCUAAGCGUUGAAAAUGAAAGUCAAACGGGUGAAGCAUGCAAGGAGAUAUUUAACUUUGUUCAAAAAUUCCUUCGGGAUAUUUGAACCUUAUCAAAUUUUAGUUGACGGCACUUUCUGUCAGGCAGCACUGCAGACCAAGAUCAAUAUCAAGGAACAGCUUCCCAAAUACUUGGAUGGAUCUGUUCAGUUAUUGACAACAAAAUGUGUAAUAGAAGAAGGAAAGGCACUUGGUCCUCAGCUGGCAGGCGCUGUGCUGAUUUUAAAGAGAUUCCAGCUGCGGAAAUGUGGCCACCAUAAGGAAGCUGUGCCAGCUGCAGAAUGUAUUAUGAAUAUGAUAGGAACUGAAAAUAAAAAUGGCUACUUUGUGGCCUCACAAGACAGAACUCUAAGAAGUCAUCUGCAGAAAAUUCCAGGAGUACCACUUUUAUUUAUUAACCACAAUACAAUACUCCUGGAGAAACCUUCAAGGGCGUCUCAUCAAGCCUCUGACCAGGUUCAAAUUUCCCGUCUGCAGCCCUCUGCACACGAGAAAGAGACGUUAGUUCGACUGAAGGACUCCGCUACGGAUGCUCAACCGAAACGUAAACGGAAGAGGCCCGGGGGACCAAACCCUCUGUCCAUGUUGAAAAGCAAGAAGAGAAAGACUGGUGAUGAAACUAAGAAAAAGCGAAUCCGUAAAAGAAAAAGAAGAAAACUGGCCGAGCACGUACAACAAGCGCUGCAGGAACAGAUGACAGGAUGUUCUUCAUAAUCCAAGGUGAGAUAUUUUAUGGAGGCUCUGCGAGGUCGAGUGCAGAGUCAUCCAGAGGCCAAUGUCACUCGCCAAAACACGAAAAAAAGGAAAGGGAAGGAAGUUGUUGUGUAAAGACGUUUUAAUCCUACUCUGAAAAAAUGUUUCGCCCUAAUUUAUGCGCCUGCUGAAUCAGCAACCCUCAGGAUCGCAUGCCAAGACACGGAACAAUUAGAAUAUCAUUUUCAAAUUUUUUCACUUUCGUCCUCGGUAUUAUAAUUGACACCUUUCUCUGAGACGACCGAACGAAGACUUGUGAACGCGCUUAAGUCCUGAGACGAUUUUUUAGUCGAAGUAAUCUUCUUAAAAGGUCUUGAACUUUUUUUUUCCUUAUUAUUUAUUAACGUAGGUGUCUUAUUCACGAGUCAGUAGACUGGUUAAACGAAAACUGGAAAGUUGCCAUUAUUAUUUCAAUAGCAGCAGCUGUAGCUAUGGCACUGCUCUAAACAUUUUCAAAUUAAGUGAUGAGUUUGCGUAAACUUUGCACUAGUAAUUUCGCGACAUUUGAAUAUGAAAGAAUAAAAAAUUUUUCUAGUUAUUUUGAAGAUGGCAAUUAAUUCGAAAUUAAUCAGAGGUACCGAACACUUUGUUAUUGCAACAUACUGUUUUAAUUCUGUUGUGAUCAAAGUUUGUGGUAAUGUUUAUCUUUCUCGUUUUUCUUUAUUUUUUAAAGCGAAGAGGCCAAAUUUGGCGCAAAGCCAUGAUCUUAUAUCAGCCCUGGUUUUUUAGUGCACUACUUGUGGGUGGUUGGGCCGUGAUUUAGGUCAGCGCUCGUCGUAUGAACUGCGUUAGUCAGCGUAUGAUAAUUUUGGGUCAAUGUGAAGUCACGUCUAAAAACGAAAUUUACUGCUGAUCGCGUCGAACACAUGCUGCCCUGAAGAUACAUGUGAUAGUAGCGAACUCAAAGGAUUUCUUUGAGGGAGGGGAUACUAGGUCUGUGGCUAUUUCAGGGGGCUGUUGUGUCUCUGGGUUAUUUUUCUUUUGUUGUGCGCAAACCCGUAAUUCGAUUGUUUACAUAAAUUGCGUUCAGGAAAUUCCCAAGGUCGCGCCGAGCUUUGUCGCGAAGUACGUGAGUGUAGAAACUGCAAAAUGUCACCAUGAGUUAAUUUUACGAAUUUAGCAUUAGAGGGGGCCCCCUUUUGUUUUCAAUGACCGUGAAGUCAGUGGCAUGACAAGCCACCAAUCGCAGCUUGUCCAGAGGUGUCAAUCAAAAAUCCAGUUUAGGUAAGGCAAUAAAGUCGUGUGUUCGGCACGAGCGCGCAUCAGACCAUUUUAAAUCUUCCGAAGGCAUCAAAACAUUGUAAUCGAGAGAACACAAGCUUCUGGCGAAAACAAAACAUGUCUUAUCUCCAAAGUGCUGGUAUAUGGAUGGCAUCCACACUUUUUCUAUCACCUGACGAGUCUCCAUCACAGCGGAGAGCGUGCAUUGCGGUGGGAAGGGAGCUUCGAAAGAUCGCGGACGAUCUAGAAGCAUCCGCGAGACGGGAGAAAGUUAACAAUGAACAGGCCAUUGUUGUUGAUGCAAUCAAGGCUGUGUGUGCUGUUGCCGGUGUCUUCGUUGUUGGGAGACUUGUGUGGAAUCUGCUCAACACUUGAAAGCCUUUUUGUCGUGUUGUUUCACUCAUAAGAUGACACUGCGUAUUCACUUGCUAGCCCUGAGGAUGAUUGACUCGCACAGCGCAAGAAAAUAUUUUUAUUUCACGCAAUACGACACUCGCUUCGAGACUGGCACAUUAAGCACAGAACUGUGUUUGGUUUUGUACCUGAUGGCUCAUGUUUCAUCGCCCUAUUGUUGACAAACACAGGAUUAAAAGCACUGAGAAGCCUCCGCUUCACAGACCAGGAUGUCACAGCAGAGAGAACUAAAAUCGCUUUUCCAUAACAACAAAACGCAAGUCAUCCGUGGCCGGAAUCCGUGAAAGCCCGGCUUGACCAUAACUUCUAUUCAAGGAGAGACGCUCUGACUUUGUUUUAAAAAUUCCGCUUAAUUUAUCGAGCUUCGCUAAAAUAACAGCUAGUAAGUGACAUUCACGUACUGGCGUUAGCAUAUCGUAGUUUACUGUCACUGUAUAUUGCGCAGCUUUCAAACGAAGGUCAAAAUUUUAUUCGUCGAUCGACUGUCACCGAGAGAGGUUUUUUUUUUCAUCUUUUUAUUCGUCAGCGCUGACUGGCAGUAUUAGUUAAUUAAUAGACUGUGACUCGCGAAAUCAUUACUGAUAUUGCAUUUUCUGAAAGACACGCGCUUCUCGGGAAAAAAAAUUAGGGAAAAGAGUGAAAAAUCAUCGACCUUGACAUUUCUCUUCCGGAAACUUUUGUGAGGUGAUCGCUGAAGUCACGUUGCUCGGUUCGCUGGCGAACUGUUGUCGUAUGCUUGUGUGCUUCGAGCGAAAACACAAUUCUCUUCUAUGCUGUCGUGACAGAACAACAUAAACAUUUCACGUUCUUAUUUUCUUUCAUAUGCAAAUUUUUUAUCUGUUGUCGAUAUGUAUUGUUUUGAGAGAAAAGAAGAGAACUGAAAAGGUUUAGUUAGGUUACUGCUGUGUAGGAUCCCAGAUGCACGCUUUUAUCACGAAACCUUCGUGUUAGAGACGGUUACUUUUAUGGCAGGUACCAGACAUUUUCCAUGAUUAUUUCCAUUAUUAUUAAUAAUGUUCUUGUUGCCACAAAAAAACACAAAACAAUAGGAAAUAUAAAUAGAGCGCUUUUAUACAUUCAGCCCGUUAAAUUAAUCGAACUUGAGCAAUACUUUGUAAACUCUUGUAAAUAUCAAACUUUUUGUAAAUAAUCACCCAAAGUCGUAUGUAAAUAUGUAAAUAGCUUAAUGAUAUUAUUUCUAUAUACGCUGAAAAUGCGACAGAUUUGUAAUGUAAUGUUAAUUCGCCUUUCAAGGGUUUUUUACCUGCAGCUUAAAACUAGACAAUUCUAUGUGGCUGCGUGAAUUGCAUCAAUUCUUCUAUUUAAAAAAAAUGUUCCAGAGGUCUUAUUUUUGUAUUAAAAGAGGCUUCUUUAAGAAAAACUC
rnacentral:misc_RNA from 1 species